UACGAAGGACCCGAGCGUUAUCCGGAUUUAUUGGGUUUAAAGGGCGCGUAGGCGGCCUGCUAAGUCGGAUGUGAAAUCCCUCGGCUCAACCGAGGAACUGCAUCCGAUACUGGCGGGCUUGAAUCCGGGAGAGGGAUGUGGAAUUCCAGGUGUAGCGGUGAAAUGCGUAGAUAUCUGGAGGAACACCGGUGGCGAAGGCGGCAUCCUGGACCGGUAUUGACGCUGAGGCGCGAAAGCUAGGGGAGCAAACGGG
rnacentral:rRNA from 1 species